rnacentral:misc_RNA from 1 species
GGUAUAAAUAGAUAGGAUUAUGUGACUGGAUUAAAUUAUAAAAUAAUUUUACAAAUCCAAUCCACUGUCUAUUAAUCUAAUUUGGGAUAAUUCAAUUAUUAUAGAGAAAUUAAAUUGGAUUUAAUCAUAUCUUAAAAGUUAAUUUAAGGGGAGAAAAUUUAUCCAUAAAUAUAUUAUUUUAAAAUAAUGUGAGACAAUGUACUCCUUUAUACCUAGACAUAAAAUAAAACUGUUUCAAUAGUUAGCUUUUGGGUGGGUGGUGAUAGCUCCAGUCUAUUUUUUUUUACAAUUAUGACCAAUAAAAAACAUUCGGGGUAACGUACGGCCAUGAUUACCUUCAAAGAGAGAUGAGGCUGUUGCUUCUUGUGCAUCUAAUUCUAUUAAUGGUGGGCUAAAUUCUGCACUCUUCC